UCUGAACCUGUGAUUCUCCCUGCCCCACGCGCCCCUGGGGAGCAGCACUCCUGAGCCAGCAGGAGGCCCAGCGCUCAGGGAGCUGUAAACAUCCCUGCCCGGUGGGAGACGACAGCCGGCCCUUUCGGGGGCCCACGUCCCUGGAUGUCUUCACCCCGUGCCGGAGUCCCACCCGGGGGCGUCGGCCACCCUGUCCUCGGCUGCGUGUCCCGGGAAGAGUCCUGUGUCUCCUCCAGGGGCCACCCUGCAUUUCGCAAACCUUGGGGCUGCCGGAGAACUUGGACUUUCCCGAAGAGGGCCCUGGCCCCUUGGCCGCGCUCUCGCUCUCGGGCGGUCCCUCAGUGAGAAGGUCCUCAAGCCAGGCCGGCGGCUGUGCCCGAGUGUGUGCCUUGGCUGCAGAAAGGUCGGAGUUGGUCUUCCGUCCGUUUGUUGGGCCCUGGAGAAGUGGCCCCUUCAUCCUGGCUGUCCUGGGUUGUCAGGAUCCUGAGAUCCGGAGCAGAGGCAGGAGAGUCCAGCCUGGGACCCGAGGCAGUGAGGCGGGGGUGACCCGCAGCCUGGACCCCCCGCCCCCAAUUUACUCUGCGCACAGACUCCAAAGGAACAGGAGCUACGGAUUCCCCGGCACCCUUGGCUCCGCAGAGAAGAGCUGGCCUCGGGCUCCCCGAGCCUCUGGGAACAACGCCGGACGAAGUGGUCGCCCAGCUCCUGCAGGAGGCCGGCCAGCCGGGAGCUCUGCCGAAACGCCAGGAAAGCGCUCUUCUCAAGGAAAAAGAAUGCCAUUUAUCAAGAGAGAACCUUCUCAACCUGUGUCAAGCCCACCACUUCUUCCCCUUUUGAGUUACAGAAAAUAACCCUUCUCAGCCCCAGAGGCUGGAAAAGAUUUCUUUUCAGAGAAAAUCAAUUUGUUCCAGAGGAAGGAAACACACAGCUGCUUCUGCACAGAACUUCACCCUCGGCCUUGUGUUUUUUGGUGAGCGCGCCCACAUGUUUGUGCUUCCUGAUGUUUCAAUGAGUCAUCUCCAAUUUUUUGCCUUAAAAUCUCCACAUGACACACAAAGCGAUUUAGAAAAAUAUGUUUCAAGAUGUCAGAGCCAGAGAGAUGCUUCAAAAACUCAGCGAGGCAAAGAAAAAAAAAAAAAAAUUUCCCGCUGUGGCUCAGUGGUUAACGAACCCAACUAGGAGCCAUGAGGUUGUGGGUUUGAUCCCUGGCCUUGCUCAGUGGGUUGGGGAUCCAGCAUUGCCAU
rnacentral:lncRNA from 1 species